CAAAAAUCAGCCCCCGAAGGUCGGGGUCCCAAGACCCCCCAGCGGAAAAAUGGCCAAAAAACGGGUGGGCUAUAGCCUUGGUGGGGGGCGUGGGCGAAGUUCGUCCGCCGGACUCGGAAUGGCCCCAGACUUGGCGGGCGGCCUCCGUGUGCCAAAAAUAGGCCACGGGCACAGCCGCGCCCAAAAAUCAGCCCCCGAAGGUCGGGGUGCCAAGACCCCCCAGCGGAAAAAUGGUCAAAAAACGG
rnacentral:lncRNA from 1 species